AUAGAAGUGAUGGAACUGGCAUACAUACAUGACUUAGAAUCAUGUUUUUGAGGGUUCGAGCCCCUCCUUCUAUACCA
rnacentral:tRNA from 1 species